GACUGCGAUAACAUGACCACUUGCUGUCAAUUUAUAGUCAGCUCAUAAUCUAAAAAUAAAUAAUAUGGCUGUUUAAUCCCAAGCUUUCUGACAAGUGUCUGUACCUUAGGAAAACAUUUCUUACUCAGUUCCUGUUGGAUUUUAAUGAAUAACACAUGCAGCAGAGAUGUGUUCGGAUGAAACUGAGAAGAAAAAUAUUGACUUCUUUCCAUCGAGGUAUUAAUACUGAAAGCCACAAGAUGACAAAAGGCAAAGCUCUGCUCUUUGUGGCUUUCAUUAUAAAAACAGUCCCAGUCUGCAAAACUCCAAACUGAAACCAUUCUGUAUCAGACUCCGAAAUCUGUUCCACUUGCUGGAUCUGACUGCUAAAACAGAAACGUAUUCAAAACACAAAAAACAUUUCAUCGGCGCAAUGUGGGCAAGGACCCCUUAAAGAGAUCACAACGCAUGCCAAACAGAUCACAUCUACAACCUUUAACAGGUUCACGCCAUUCUUGCCAUGCUCCGUUUUGAAGUUCAAAUACAUACAGAGGACAAGAACAAAUCAACCUGGAAAUGGAGGGGCUGAGAUAACACAAUUAAGAUAAAAUGACUAAGAAUCUUAGGAUGGUGGCCAUAGAAGCUUCAAUCAAGUGGGAGAUCCUGCUGACCAUGGAGCCCUUUGCAACUGCACUGGUCACAUGCCCAUGAAACCAGCCCUGCUGAUGUAGAGAAG